GGGGGGGGGCACACGGACAGAUCGGCGGAGCCGAGGAUGGAACCAGAGCUAGUCGGGGUAAAAUUGGAGGUGAGAGAAACAGACUAUAAAGGAAUUGAUGGGGAAAUUGGAGGAGAAUAGGAUGAGAGAGCUACUGUGUUGGUGUAUUAGGCACGACAUUCGCCCUACAGAGCGUGUCCUAAUGAUAUCACCUGAGUUAGUGUUUAUUACUAGUCCUGAGGUGCGUGCUAGCUCUCUGGUGAGGAUAGUACCAGCACCAUGCACCAGGCCUCCAGUUUGUCAGCCCAGUCCAACUCGUCCUGUUCCCGCUCCCCGCACUAGCCCUGAAGUGUGAACCCCUAGUCUGGCACAUCCAGUACCAGCACCACGCACUUGGCUUCCAGCACGGCAACCCAGUCCGGUAUGUCCUGUUCAUGCUCCCCGCACUAGCCCUGAGGUGCGUGUUCCCAGGCUGAUACCUCCAGUACCAGCACCACGCAUCAGGCUUCCAGUGCGUCAGCCCAGCCUCGAGUCCGGCAACAGUGUGCGGUCCAGAGUGUCCGGCAACAGUGUGCGGUCCAGAGUGUCCAGCAACAGUGUGCGGUCCAGAGUAUCCGGCAACAGUGUGCGGUCCAGAGUAUCCGGCAACAGUGUGCGGUCCAGAGUAUCCGGCAACAGUGUGCGGUCCAGAGUAUCCGGCAACAGUGUCUAGUCCGGAACAGAAGGGGUCUGCCUGUGACCCGGAACAAAAGGGGUCGGCCUGCGACCCGGGACCGAGGGGGUCGGCCUGCGACCCAGAACUGAGACAAUGACCCAAACACACCUCCAGGCUGCGUAAGGGCUAUUUGACCGAGAAGGAGAGUGAUGGAACCCUGCAUCAGAGGACCUGGCCUACACAACCACCCGACCUCAACCCAAUUGAGAUGGUUUGGGAUAAGUUGGACCGCAGAGUGAAGGAAAAGCAGCCAACAAGUGCUUAGCAUAUGUGGGAACUCCUUCAAGACUGUUGGAAAAGCAUUCCAGGUGACUACUACAUCAUGAAGCUGGUUGAGAGAAUGCAAAGCUGUCAUCAAGGCAAAGGGUGGCUACUUUGAAGAAUCUAAAAUAUAUUUUGAUUUGUUUAACACUUUUUUUUGGUUCCUACAUGAUUCCAUGUGUUAUUUCAGGUCUUCAGUAUAUAUAUUAAAACUAAAGAAAACCCUUGCACUAUUAACUGGUACUGUAUAUGAAAUCAAUAUCGAAAAAAAUACACUCUCUCUCUCUCACACACCUACCCCUAAAGUACAGUUGUAGUCGGAAGUUUACAUACACCUUAGCCAAAUACAUAUAAACUCAGUUUUUCACAAAUCCUGACAUUUAAUCCUAGUAAAAAUUCCUUGUCUUAGGUCAGUAGC
rnacentral:lncRNA from 1 species